CGGCUCAGUAACACGUAGUCAACCUAACCUAUGGACGUGGAUAACCUCGGGAAACUGAGAAUAAACCGCGAUAGAUCAUUAUGCCUGGAAUGGCUUAUGGUUCAAACAAUUUAUUGCCGUAGGAUGGGACUGCGGCCUAUCAGCUUGUUGGUGAGGUAAUGGCCCACCAAGGCUAUAACAGGUACGGGCUCUGAGAGGAGAAGCCCGGAGAUGGGUACUGAGACACGGACCCAGGCCCUAUGGGGCGCAGCAGGCGAGAAACCUUAGCAAUGUGCGAAAGCACGACUAGGUUAAUCCGAGUGAUUUCUGUUGAAGAAAUCUUUUGUCAGUCGUAAAACCACAGACGAAUAAGGGGUGGGCAAGUCUGGUGUCAGCCGCCGCGGUAAUACCAGCACCUCGAGUGGUCAGGAGGUUUAUUGGGCCUAAAGCAUCCGUAGCCGGCUUUGCAAGUCUCCGGUUAAAUCCAGCUGCUCAACAGAUGGGCUGCCGGAGAUACUACAAAGCUAGGGAGCGGGAGAGGUAGACGGUAUUCGGUGGGUAGGGGUAAAAUCCACUGAUCCAUCGAGGACCACCAGUGGCGAAGGCGGUCUACCAGAACGCGUUCGACGGUGAGGGAUGAAAGCUGGGGGAGCAAACCGGAUUAGAUACCCGGGUAGUCCCAGCUGUAAACGAUGCAAACUCGGUGAUGCAUUGGCUUAUGGCCAAUGCAGUGCCGCAGGGAAGCCGUUAAGUUUGCCGCCUGGGAAGUACGGACGCAAGUCUGAAACUUAAAGGAAUUGGCGGGG
rnacentral:rRNA from 1 species